rnacentral:rRNA from 1 species
GUGGAUUAGAUACCCUGGUAGUCCUAGCCGUAAACUAUGUUGACUUGGCGUUGGUGGGUUAAUAUCCGCCAGUGCCGUAGCUAACGCGUUAAGUCAACCGCCUGGGGACUACGAUCGCAAGAUUAAAACUCAAAGGAAUUGACGGGGGCCCGCACAAGCAGCGGAGCGUGUGGUUUAAUUCGAUGUUACACGAAGAACCUUACCAAGGUUUGACAUGCAAGUGGUAGGAAUCUGAAAAGUGACCGACCCUUCGGGGAGCUUGCACAGGUGUUGCAUGGUUGUCGUCAGCU